rnacentral:rRNA from 1 species
UACGUAGGUGGCAAGCGUUGUCCGGAUUUACUGGGCGUAAAGAGCGCGCAGGCGGUUGUGCAAGUCGCGUGUGAAAGCCCCCGGCUCAACUGGGGAGGGUCACGCGAUACUGCUCAACUCGAAGGCAGGAGAGGGAAGUGGAAUUCCCCGGUGUAGUGGUGAAAUGCGUAGAGAUCGGGAGAAGGCCGGUGGCGAAGGCGGCGCUCUGGAACAUUCUGACGCUGAGGCUCGAAAGCGUGGGGAGCAACAGG